rnacentral:ncRNA from 2 species
GCGAUGUGAAAUAGAUUCACUCGUAUAAUCCUGGUAAUGGGUCCGGGAGUUUCUACAGGGGGGCCGGAACCUCCCUACUACGGGUGACAAGAGUUCGCGG